AACGAACGCUGGCGGCAUGCCUAACACAUGCAAGUCGAACGAGACCUUCGGGUCUAGUGGCGCACGGGUGCGUAACGCGUGGGAACCUGCCUUUAGGUUCGGAAUAACUCAGAGAAAUUUGAGCUAAUACCGGAUGAUGUCUUCGGACCAAAGAUUUAUCGCCUUUAGAUGGGCCCGCGUUGGAUUAGCUAGUUGGUGGGGUAAAGGCCUACCAAGGCGACGAUCCAUAGCUGGUCUGAGAGGAUGAUAAGCCACACUGGGACUGAGACACGGCCCAGACUCCUACGGGAGGCAGCAGUGGGGAAUAUUGGACAAUGGGCGAAAGCCUGAUCCAGCAAUGCCGCGUGAGUGAUGAAGGCCUUAGGGUUGUAAAGCUCUUUUACCCGAGAUGAUAAUGACAGUAUCGGGAGAAUAAGCUCCGGCUAACUCCGU
rnacentral:rRNA from 1 species